rnacentral:rRNA from 1 species
UCACUGGUCGAGGAGUUUGGCGUGGAUAAUAAUCGGGCAUAAGUGUUUUACCGAAGCUAUGGGAUCCUAAUGGAUCGGUAGGGGAGCAUUCCACUCAGCGUUGAAGGCGAAGCGUGAGCUUUACUGGAGCGUGUGGAAAAGCAAAUGUAGGUAUAAGUAACGAUAAAGGGGGUGAGAAACCCCCUCGCCGCAAGACUAAGGUUUCCUGAUCAACGCUAAUCGGAUCAGGGUUAGUCGGGUCCUAAGGCUCAGCCGAACGGUGAGGCCGAUGGCAGAACAGGUUAAUAUUCCUGUACUACCUAUAAGAGUGAUGUGGAGACGGAGGAGUGACAACGCCGCGGACUGACGGAAUAGUCCGUUAAAGGGUGUAGAUGUUGAUUAUCCCAGGCAAAUCCGGGAUAAGAGUCGAACCUGAYAGUAUACCAAUUUCCYCGGAAAACGGUAAUAGUGCGUGUAAACAUACUCCCAAGAAAAUCCGCUAAACUUAAUCUUAUAGGUACCCGUACCGUAAACGGACACACGUAGUCGGGUUGAAUAUACUCAGGCGCUUGAGUGAAUCACGGUUAAGGAACUAGGCAAAUUGACCCUGUAACUUCGGGAUAAAGGGUCCCUACCCGGUGACGGGAGGGCGCAGAGAAUAGGUCCAGGCAACUGUUUAACAAAAACACAGGGCUGUGCAAAAUUGAAAGAUCACGUAUACAGCCUGACACCUGCCCGGUGCUGGAAGGUUAAGAGGAGAUGUCAUCGCAAGAGAAGCAUUGAAUUGAAAGCCCCAGUAAACGGCGGCCGUAACUAUAACGGUCCU